CCUACGGGAGGCAGCAGUGAGGAAUUUUCCGCAAUGGGCGAAAGCCUGACGGAGCAAUGCCGCGUGAAGGAUGAAGGCCUAUGGGUUGUAAACUUCUUUUCUCAGAGAAGAAAUUUUGACGGUAUCUGAGGAAUAAGCAUCGGCUAACUCUGUGCCAGCAGCCGCGGUAAGACAGAGGAUGCAAGCGUUAUCCGGAAUGAUUGGGCGUAAAGUGUCUGUAGGUGGCUUAAAAAGUCUCCUGUCAAAGAUCAGGGCUUAACCCUGGGCCGGCAGGAGAAACUCUUAGGCUAGAGUUUGGUAGGGGCAGAGGGAAUUCCCGGUGGAGCGGUGAAAUGCGUAGAGAUCGGGAGGAACACCAAAGGCGAAAGCACUCUGCUGGGCCACAACUGACACUCAGAGACGAAAGCGAGGGGAGCAAAAGGGAUUAGAUACCCCUGUAGUCCUCGCCGUAAACGAUGGAUACUAGAUGUUGGAUAGGUUAAAUCAUUCAGUAUCGUAGCUAACGCGUGAAGUAUCCCGCCUGGGGAGUAUGCUCGCAGAGUGAAACUCAAAGAUAGUAGACGUGAGAGAGCGACGACGACGACGACGGAGGAGAG
rnacentral:rRNA from 1 species